GUGAGGAAUAUUGGACAAUGGAUGGAAAUCUGAUCCAGCCAUGCCGCGUGCAGGAAGACGGCCCUAUGGGUUGUAAACUGCUUUUAUACGGGAGCAAUAAGGUCUAUGCAUAGAUUGAUGAGAGUACCGUAUGAAUAAGCAUCGGCUAACUCCGUGCCAGCAGCCGCGGUAAUACGGAGGAUGCGAGCGUUAUCCGGAUUUAUUGGGUUUAAAGGGUGCGUAGGCAGCUUUGUAAGUCAGCGGUGAAAUUUUGCAGCUUAACUGUAAAAGCGCCGUUGAUACUGUGAAGCUAGGAUUUGGUUGCUGUGGGCGGAAUGUGUGGUGUGCGGUGAAAUGCAUAGAGAUCACACAGAAUAUCGAUUGCGAAGGCAGCUCACAAAGCCAAUAUUGACGCUGAGGCACGAAAGUGUGGGGAUCAAACAGGAUUAGAAACCCCGGUAGUCC
rnacentral:rRNA from 1 species